rnacentral:rRNA from 1 species
UUUAACUGAAGAGUUUGAUCAUGGCUCAGAUUGAACGCUGGCGGCAGGCUUAACACAUGCAAGUCGAGCGGGGGAAGGUAGCUUGCUACCGGACCUAGCGGCGGACGGGUGAGUAAUGCUUAGGAAUCUGCCUAUUAGUGGGGGA